rnacentral:lncRNA from 10 species
AAAGCAAUGUGGCUUAAAGUAGCAAAGGACUAAGAUUCAGGAGAUGUGGAUUCAACUCUCAGUUCAGUUACUAAUCAAUGGAAACAUGACCUCAUCUAUUAAAGUGAAUCUUUGACUCAUGAGUAUGUCAUAAGGGAAAGAUCAGAGAACCUUGAAUGGGUGGUACACCAGCUCUUACUAGCCCAAGGGCUUUGCAACCACAAGUGUUAUUACUCAAAUCAUUGUUGAGAGAUGACUUUUGAUUCCAGGUUUUCCUUAGUUCCUUCAUUAGAAAAUGGUAGAAUUGGCUAUAACUAACAGCUGUCUAGACACCUGUAAUGACAACAAUGUUUUCUCUGAGAUAACAAUGGGAAAAGUAGUUUGAUAUUGAAAGGAAACCAUUUCAUGCUGCCUGUCUAAUAACAUUUCACUCGUUUCUUAAUUUAGAGGUUUUCGAACUCUAGUUCAUGAAACUUUAUGGCUUCAGGGAAACUUGCCAAAAUUAUGGGAUGCCUGCUGCCUAGCUCAAGGCAAGCUGGACAUAUCCCAAGAGCGACAUAUCCAGACUUUGGAAGAUGACUCAGCAGGUGAAGAAGGCUUGGAAGGGGAUUUGCAGCCUUGUACUCAGCUUUUACGUGCAUUAGAUUCCCCCAAGUAGCAUCAUCAACUUGUACCUCAAGCUAGAACAAAAUGAGGAAGCAAAACUUCUGAAACAAUGGCGUAACUAUGAAGACAAAGCUUGCAAAGACUUCGUGGUUUCAAGGCUUAGUAAUGAAUGCUUACAUGAAAGAAGUGUGUAUCCAGAGCUAUGUUGUAAUCCCAACUCAUCAUCAUUCAAAACAUCCUAAACAUCACUUAUCUUGAAGUUUUAAUAAUAAGAAAAUGUAAGUUUUACCUUUUAACCAACAAAUUUUACAUAGAAUGAAUGAGUCAGAGUUCUGCAGAGAAACAGACUAACAGGAUAUAGAUAUAUGUUAUAUAUAAAGGGAGAUUUAUUAUAGGAACUAGUUCACACAGCUAUGGAGGCUGAAAAAUUCCAUUAUCUGCCACCUGCAAGAUGGAGAAAUAAGAAAGCCAAUGGUGAAAUUCAAUGCAAGUCCCAAAGCCUGAGAACCAGGAAUGCUGAUGUCCAAGGGCAGAAGAAGACAGAUGCCCAGCUCAAACAGAUAGAGUAAACUCGCCCUUCCUCUGCCUUUUUGUUCUAUUCAGGCCCUUUAACAGGUUAGAUGAUGCCCACCCACAUUGCUGAGGGCCAUUUUCUUUACUCAGUCUACCAAUUCAAAUGCUCAUCUUUUCCAGAAACACCCUCACAGAUACACCCAGAAAUAAUGUUUUCACUGCCGUCUGGCCAUCCCCUAGCCUGGUCAAGUUGACACAUAAAAUUAACCAUCUUAUAGGGCAUCGUGUAAAUAAAAGUCUGGCAACGAAGGUACUCACAAAACCAUUUAAGGCAACAAACUCUUUUUAAGCACUUUAAAAGCUCACACUGAUGUAUAAACAAUAAAAGUUAAUUACAUAUCAUUCUGAUAUGUUCACAAAAAGAUCUAUAUUUGGCAAAAUAUCCUGGCAACGUUUUGUUAGCCUAGCAUAUUUACUGCACCCAUUUGAAAGUAAUAAAGAUGGCAUUUCUGAAAAAGUAUCCCAUAAUUCAAACUAUUCACUGCCCCCUCUGUAAGCACAAACCACAGAGAUUUCACUGUAAAUCUUGAGAAAACGCACUGCCUUAUAAAAUGCUACCAAUUCGCACUUUAAGUUGCUUAAGUACAGAGUCAAGAAGCAUUAACUAGUCACAGAGUCUUAGACUACUGGAAUUAAAUAGGUAAAUUCUAAGAUUACUUGGCCUCACCACCACAUUAUACUGAUAAAGCAGUCUUGAGAAAGUUAAAACUUUUGCCCAAAGUAAAGCAAUAAUAUGUAGAAUUAGGACUUUAACCUUUGUGCCUCCUACCUCCCAAGCUAUACUAAUUCAAAAGAUUGCAGAUCUAGCACCUUAUGUUGCUAUCUUUUAUUCUGUAACAAAUAAUUUUGGAAUUACAGAGGAAGCUGCUGUGGAACAGAGACUCCAACUGACUGCAGGAUUCUAACUGCACAAUGAUUUUGUAUGCUCCUGUUCUCUUCUUCCAUAUAACAGCAAACAUAGUGUAUUUCUCCUUUUCUAAGGUAUAGCAUGUUCUUCUAGACUCUCCAUGGGCCUGUUUUGUGGAUGGGUCUAAUCACACAGAGGAAACUUCUUUCCUUACUUGAUAGUUACAUGGGGAGAUAAUGUAUUUUUUUCCAGCUUAGCCCCAAAGCAAUCAGUUGACAAGUCCAGAGAAGACCCCUGUGGUAAAGUAAAAUAUAAAGACUCUCUGGGUAGCAGGUGUUUCCCUUUUAAUGACAGCUUAACUGGUGAAGUGUUGAGCAGAACACUGCUGUUUAUCCCUGCUGUUUGCAUUGGGCUGGAAGCCAGCCCAAACCUGCCUUGGUGACAUUUCAGGUCAGAUUAUUGUAUCAGGAAAUUCCCACAUAGCCAGUGGACAGUGGAGGGCUGCAGCCUGCACACGUAUAACUAGAUCCAGAAAAGGAGAAAUUCAAGGAAAGAUGGGCACCCUAGGUCUGUGGGGCAUAAUGAAGGCUUUAAGGGGUCAGAAGAGAACAAAGUACAGGCUUUGCCUGAAAUCUACAUGUCUCUGGUUUAAGAAGAAAAUUACAUAGUAGAUGAUGACAUGAAUGGAGAACAAAUGAAAUCGUGUUUAAGGCUGCAGUGACUCAUCUUCUCAUUCUUUCACACAGUAGAUUUAUGUCAUUAAGCUCCUCGAAUGGUAAAGUACCCACUAGUCCAUGGUUGAGUAUUUGAAAACUAAUAUGCUUGAAACUUCAUUAAAUGUAUAAUCUGGCAGAGUGGGAAAAAUGUAUACAAAUAACUUUUAAGUAUAGUAAAAUUGACCUAAAAACAAAGUUCUUUCCUAAUUUGAAGGCUGCAGAGGAUACUUUUCUGAUCAAGGGUAAUAGAAAAGACUUAAAGAAAACAUGAAUUUGCAUAAGGAGUAGGACUUCCAUCAAUUAGGAGAAAUAAAAUAACUUCAUAAGUUUAGCAAUCAGUAUGAAUUGAAGUUUGGGAAAAGGGAUGCGGACAUGUUAGGGAAUACUAGGAAAAAAGAAGGACCCCUAUUUUAAAUGGAACGAGGCUCUUUGUAGGAAAAUAAUAAAAAUUAAGCCUGAAAGUACAAACUUGGCUAAUAUGGUUGAAGUGCCUCAUAAAUGUGAAUGAGAAAUGUUUUCUUUCAUUGAGAGAUAUUGAAUGUUUUUGAUACCAAAACACCAGCCAUUUGGUCUAGGUCCCAUUGCUCACUGCACAGAAACCCCAUCACAGAGACAACAAGUAUUGCCAAAGAAGAAGGCUUUAUUCAAGUGCUUCAGCCAAAAAGAUGGGAGAUCAAUCUCAAACGCAUCUCUCAAACCAUCUAAAAUUGGGGGUUUACAUAGCAGAGAAGGAAUGUAGUAUGUGUGAGAAAGCAGGGAUUAGGGAUUAGGAUGGUAAGAAAGAGGAGCUGGUCAACAGAAAGCAGGCAGUCAGUUGGUAAAACAGGAAUUAGGGAGAGGUAAGGAAGAUGAGUUUCACUUCCUUAAUACCAUCUGGGAGGCCUGAGAGUCAGUUUCCUAAGAGGGAACUCAGAUAAGACAAAUGUAAAUUUCAAGCUUUAAGACCAGGAGGAUCAAUUUUUAUUUGUCUCAAAAACUGUCAUCUAUGGGCUGGUUUCAUUUUGACCAAGGGAGUGAGGGCAUUGUUUCAGUCUCCACCCAAGGCAGGCAGAGAAUAGAAGGAAUAAGACAGGAUGGAAGGGAAUGGUAAAUGAGGAAAGCAGGGGAAAAGGAGGUCAAAUGGGGCUGGAUUCCUGAUGAAAAAAGAAGAAAAACAUAGAAGGGGAGAGUGGUAGGAAGGGUAGGAAUGAAGUAGGGCUAACUUGGGGCAACAGGAAGAGAAGCAUAGAUACAUGGCAGCUCAGAAAAAGGUCUAAAGGAAAUAUUCGACCAAAGAAAGAAACAGCACACAAAACCAAAGCUCUGGGCUCUCUGUCUCAGACUGUUCAGGCCGCUAUAACAAAAUGCCACAGACUGGGUGGUUUAUAAACAACAGAAAUUUAUUUCCCACAAUUCUAAAGACUGGGAAGUUCAAGAUCAAAUCACCAACAGAUUCAGUGUCUGGUGAGGACCUGCUUCCUAUUCAUAGAUAUCCAUCUUUUGGCAGUUUCCUCACAUGGUGGAAGAGGCAAGGGAUCUUUCUAGGACCUAUUUUAUAGGGCACCAAUCACCCCCCAAAGGCCCCACCUCCUAAUACCAUCAUCUUAAGGGUUAGGAUUUUAACACAGACACUUUGAUUCAGUCCAUUGCAAGUGGUGUUGAGGCAGGAUGUGGUUGGGACCCAAAAUUGCAAACAGAAAGAGCCCAGAGAAGUUCCCUGAGACAACAGCAAGAAAAAAGAAUGAUCUACUGCUCAAGAACCUUGCAGUACAACACACACCAGUUUCAGUGUCUAAUGAUAUAUGUCACUAGUUGGUUGGACAUAUUGAAAAUAAGCAGCCAAAUGAAAGAAAGGGUUUGGUUUACAAAAUGCUUUUCAUCCAAUUUGUCAACUCAUUGACAUGACAUGGGGUGCAGGAAAAAUGGGAACAGAAUUAAAAUAUGGAAUGGCUGGACGAUGCUGAUUGCGUUCAUUUAAAACACAAUUUUAAAUGCAGAUUUUUUAAAAAAUAAAAGCUGGUUUGUUAGAAGAAAAUGGCAGGUUUGAUGUGAGUCAUUGAGUUUGAGAAGCUAGCAAAAUGUCCAGACAGUGACAUUUAGACAAUUGAAAUUCAUGGAUUCAGCUCAGAAGACCAAAUGUGUUGUACAAAGGACCUAGACUUUUAAAAUAUUCACACAUUGGUUAGAGUUGAAACUAGGGGUUGUGUAGAAAGACAAAAAUUAAUAAUAAUCAUACAAAUUCAAAAAUACAUGUUCUAAGUCAGUACAUGGGAACCACAGUGAGGUGACCAUCAAGACCUCAUAAAUGAGUUUCUCCUUAGAGAUUUUAUAUAUAUAUACACACACACACACAUACAUACAUAUAUAUAUACAUAUAUAUACACAUACAUACAUAUAUAUACAUACAUACAUAUAUAUACAUAUAUAUAUAUAUCUCAACAUAAAAUGGAUCCAAAAAAAGACAAGAAGAGAUACUUCAAAAUUUUAAAAAGACAAAAUGAUUCCUGAAAUUAGCUCUAUCCCAUACUCAUAGAACAGUCUUGGCACACGAUAGAUGAUCAACAAAUAUUGGGUUAUUGAAGAUGAAUAUGAAUUGAUUGUAAUUAGAAGAUCCAUGUCUAAGAAACAAAGACAUCAGUGAGAAGUUGGGUUGAUCAGAGCUAGAGCAGCGGAAAGGCAGACACUUCAUCAUUCUCUGUGGCCCCUAGGCAGACUAAAUCAUACUGUGGGAAGGAACAAAUAAGGAUAUUUCAGGCACAAACUUCCAGGACUUAGUUUUAUGAUUGAGUGUUUAAAGGCUUCAGGCUAUUAAAAUCAGAGAACUCUCCCAGUUAUGUUUCUAGGCAUACCUAGGAACCUUCUGAUUAUAAUUUGGCUCCCAUGCAGUUUUUCUACAGGAAGAUGUGCUGUCAAAUAUAAAUGAAUAUUUGUUCCCUUUGGUCAUUAUAUUUCUCGCAAUAAAUUAA